UAGAGAGGCAUCCCCACCGGGCCACCCUAGCUGGUGCCCAUGACCCCAUCCUCUGAGUAGUCAGUUUAUAGCAGAAUACAAUCACCAUUUAUUUACAUGUGGUGCUUAUUCUACCAAAGACGCAAAGCUCUUUAACCUUGUCCUUUUGUCCUCCUCCCAUGGUUUAUUUUCUUCCACUCUUUCUAAAAUAUAUUUGAGUUCUCCCAUUAUCGCAACCCAUGUGAUUUGCUUGCAAAAAAUUGAAUCUUUAUUGUUUAUUCUCCAGCAAAAUUUUGUUAUUACACUCCCUCUUAAUUUUAUCAACUGGACAUGCCUAUUGAGUUGCUGGUUUUCAGUUAGGACUUAAGAGUCGAUACAUGUCUUUCCUUGCUUCUUAUUUUUGUUUUGCCAAUUCAUCGCUUCUUCAAUUCUGAGUGGAGCUGAUAAUCUUAAGCUAAUGAGUGGAAUAGCUCCAACCGGGUUAGGAUUUGCGGGCUCAGAUUUCCAUUUUAGGUGCUUGUACUUCCCGAAGAAAGGGUUAGUGUCUUAUAAUAGGAACCAAAAUGGUAGGAUCUUGACAACCAGAUGCAGUAUAUCAUCUUCAAGGCCUGCUUCUCAGCCGAGGUUCAUACAACACAAGAAAGAAGCAUUUUGGUUUUACAGGUUCUUAUCUAUAGUGUAUGACCAUAUCAUAAACCCAGGUCACUGGACUGAGGACAUGAGAGAUGAGGCGUUAGAGCCUGCUGAUCUCUUUGAUAGGAAUAUGAGAGUGGUAGAUGUUGGUGGUGGGACUGGCUUUACAACUCUUGGUAUAGUUAAGCAUGUGGAUGCCAAAAAUGUUACAAUUCUUGACCAGUCACCGCAUCAGCUUGCCAAGGCUAAAAAGAAGGAGCCCUUGAAGGAAUGCACGAUAAUUGAAGGUGAUGCGGAGGAUCUCCCCUUCCCUACUGAUUAUGCAGAUCGCUAUGUGUCAGCUGGAAGUAUCGAGUACUGGCCAGACCCACAACGUGGCAUCAAAGAAGCAUACAGGGUACUAAAAAUAGGAGGAAAAGCCUGUGUCAUAGGUCCUGUGUAUCCAACCUUUUGGUUGUCUCAAUUCUUCGCAGAUAUGUGGAUGCUCUUUCCAAAGGAGGAAGAUUAUAUUGAAUGGUUUAAAAAAGCUGGUUUCAAGGAUGUUAAACUGAAAAGGAUUGGUCCAAAAUGGUACCGCGGAGUCCGUCGGCAUGGCUUGAUCAUGGGUUGCUCUGUUACAGGUGUGAAGCCUUUAUCAGGAGACUCUCCUCUACAGCUUGGUCCUAAGGCAGAGGAUUUAAAGAAGCCUGUGAAUCCCUUUGUGUUCUUCCUGAGGUUUCUUCUUGGGGUCAUUGCAGCAACUUACUAUGUACUGGUUCCCAUCUACAUGUGGAUCAAAGAUCAAAUUGUUCCAAAGGGCCAGCCGAUCUGAAAUAGGAGGAAGAUUUGAGGGUCUGCGAUUGAUUAUGGAGCUGGUUAAUCUGUCAUUCGUUUUGUUGAUCAACAUUAUUCCUUUUGGAGUAAGACAGAUGAGACAUCUUGUUUUAUUUCCUUGGCCGGUGACUAGCAAUGCUGCAAAGCUCAGCUGUUAUGGCUGCAACUGGUAGCCUUAGUGAGGUUAAUGUAACAGAAUUCUCAGAUCCUGAAAGAUACCCUUUCACGUCAUUUGGGCAGCGAUACUGCAUUAAAAAAGAGAAGGUAAACAGAUUUUUUCAGAAAAAUGAACCAAAUGCUUUCAGAUUGCUAAAAAGGGUGAGAAAAAAUUAUGUUAAUAAUUUACUUUGGGUCCAAGAAGACAGGCAUGUGUUCCAUAGCUACUCAACAAG